GACGAACGCUGGCGGCGUGCCUAAUACAUGCAAGUAGAACGCUAAAGGAGGAGCUUGCUUCGCUGCAUGAGUGGCGAACGGGUGAGUAACGCGUAGGUAACCUGCCUGGGAGCGGGGGAUAACUAUUGGAAACGAUAGCUAAUACCGCAUAAGAGUAGAUGUUGCAUGACAUUGGCUGGAAAGGUGCAAUUGCAUCACUACCAGAUGGACCUGCGUUGUAUUAGCUAGUUGGUGGGGUAACGGCUCACCAAGGCGAGGAUACAUAGCCGACGUGAGAGGGGGAUCGGCCACACUGGAGGUUAACCACCGCCCAGACUCCUACGGGAGGCACCAGUCGCCAAUCUUCGGCAAUGGACGGAAGUAUUACCGAGUAACGCCGAGUGAGAGACGACGGUGCUCGGUUCGUAAAGAUGUGUUGUAAGAGAAGAACGAGUGUGAGAGUGGAAAGUUCACACUGUGAGGGUAUCUUAAAAGAAAGGCCCGGCUACCUACGU
rnacentral:rRNA from 1 species